GCGUUGGUGGUGCAGUGGUGAGCAUAGCUGCUUUCUAAGCAGAUGACCCGGGUUUGAUUCCCGGCUAACGCC